rnacentral:rRNA from 1 species
GUAGGGAAUAUUGCGCAAUGGGGGAAACCCUGACGCAGCGACGCCGCGUGAGUAUGAAGGCCUUCGGGUCGUAAAGCUCUGUUGCAGGGGAAUAAAAAAAUGAAGGUACCCUGUGAGGAAGGAUCGGCUAACUUCGUGCCAGCAGCCGCGGUAAGACGAGGGAUCCUAGCGUUGCUCGGAAUCAUUGGGCGUAAAGAGGGCGUAGGUGGCUUGGUAAGUCAGGUGUGAAAGCCCAGGGCUCAACCCUGGAAGUGCAUUUGAUACUGCUGAGCUUGAGUGUCGGAGAGGUUACCGGAAUACCUGGUGUAGUGGUGAAAUACGUAGAUAUCAGGUGGAACACCGGAGGCGAAGGCGGGUAACUGGACGAACACUGACACUGAGGCCCGAAAGCGUGGGGAUCAAACAGGAUUAGAAACCCUAGUAGUCC